rnacentral:piRNA from 1 species
GGACAGUCAAAACCUUCAGCAGUGC